AGAAGGAACAACCCCAGUGGCCACGGCAGCUCUGGAAACCUGGAUUCAGCUCCCGCAGGAACUACUCAGUCUGCAGGGCCUGGAGGCUGCUAGGGCGGG
rnacentral:pre_miRNA from 1 species